GAUGAAGAACGUAGCGAAAUGCGAUAAGUAGUGUGAAUUGCAGAAUUCAGUGAAUCAUCGAAUCUUUGAACGCACAUUGCGCCCCUUGGUAUUCCAUGGGGCAUGCCUGUUCGAGCGUCAUUUGUACCCUCAAGCUUUGCUUGGUGUUGGGUGUUUGUCCCGCGUUGCGCGUGGACUCGCCUUAAAGCGAUUGGCAGCCGGCAUAUUGGCCUUGGAGCGCAGCACAUUUUGCGCUUCUAGUCAUGAAUGUUGGCGUCCAUUAAGCCUAUACAUUUGCUCUUGACCUCGGACCAGGUAGGGAUACCCGCUGAACUUAAGCAUAUCAAUAAGCGGAGGA
rnacentral:misc_RNA from 1 species